CAUUCGUGAAGGCGUGGACAUGAAUUAUGUUUAUAAAAUAAUUAAGCUUAAUUUUUUUCUUUGGUUAUAUAUAGAGUAGAGAGCAACGCUUUUGGUCUCAUUUCAUAUCCUGUAGGAUCAGACAUUCCUACAAUUUUAUGAUCUAUUAGUAAUUUAUUUUUAGAAAGCUUGAAAUUUGAGAUUAGGGAUGGUAAUAGAUACC
rnacentral:lncRNA from 1 species